UUGUACAAUACCAAAGUGGAUAUUGUGAGGCCAUGCAUCAUUCUACUUUGAGCUACCGUUUGGAAAUAUACGAGACAAGAUGCCACUGUUGCCAUUACCGACCAGGUGUUGUAUAAAGUGAUGCAGAUGACAAACCAUUAACAUCGGAGCAGGAGGACGCAGUCUUAGGAGAAGCGGGAGAAGAAAACGGUGAAGAACUUUCUUCAACAUGGCCACAAAAAUGAAGGAAAAGGCAGCUCAUGCAAAACACUACACAGCUGAAGUACCUGCUAGCGAUGAGAUGUACAUGCAUGUAGCUGCUUUGAGCUAGCCAAGUGAGACUCGGACAUGGUGUUAAUUGUCUGGGAAACUAAUGGCCUUGAUGAACAGAAGUGAGCAGGUGAUGACUGAGUUGAGGCACCAAGGGAUCGACUCCCAGGAAACGAGUGAGGAUGGCACUCAUAUGCUCUGGUUUCUCCGCUCUGUUGGGUUCACCCUAAGUCAAUGUGAUGGUGGCCUGUCUUCCGGAGAUCAUAUGGACAUGUGUACUACAAGACCACACCCUUCUCUUCGUCAUACACUCACCCACACCCUCAAGUCCUCUUUGACACAAGCAAUGACUCUCAAGUGUGUGUGCCGGUGUUCAUAUAAGAAUAAGAAAUCACAGAAAGAGAAGGUUAGUUCUUGUAACUUCCACCCUAAUACCGUGUGUGAAGUGGGUGUGGUAUACUAAUGGACACAUCUCCCUCAGGAUUUUAUCUAGUGGGGGGGUGCAGGGGUGAACCUUCCCCCCCAAAAAUGCUCUACAUCAUCACACAUGCAGCCAUUAAUUUUAGACUUGUUUUGGCAUCAAUCGUUUUUAAUAACAAUCAUGGUCGAUUAUUACCCACUCCUUGAGUUUGUAUGCAAAAAUAUUCAUCAUGAUAAUUAUAAUAAUUGUGUGUAUAGUUUUGGUACCUUCAUCGAGGCAUCAGCACCCA